GGCAAUAGCUACAAAUACUUACACUGGAAGAAAGGGGAGAUUUGAAAGGUAAAUACAAUAAAGGUAAAUGAGCCAUGCAAUUAAGAAGAAAUAUAUAUAUAAUCAGGAUUUUCCUCUUAUCUAUGCAGUUUUAUUUAUCUACUGUCCGGUUUUCAGCACUGGCUGUUUUCCUAUUGAUGAAUCUCCGUACGAAGCACAGGGGUUGAAUGAGCUGCAUGAGAAUUUUAAUUGAUCAUUUUCUUUAUGAUUUAAAAAGGAAAAUAUUUAACCAUGUAUUAUGCUCUAAUGUGUUUUGCAUAUACAUUUACAAAGGUUAAAUUAAUGUAACCUUAGAUAUGGUUGUUUAUAUUGCAACCCAAUAUCAUUGAGGGGACUAGGAAGAUGCUUACAAGAUAGGAGACUGUUAAGUAAAUAGGUGUAAAAUAACCAUAGGGGGUGUAUUGGCUUAUUAUCAUUAUUAUUAUUGCUUUUUAUAUAGUGCCAACUAAUUCCGCAGAGCUUUACAAUUUUAUGAAAGGGGUAGGGGGAUUUACAAUGCAUUAGACAAUUACACAGUGACACAGGAACAAUAGGUAGACGAGGACCCUGUUCAAAUGAGCUUACAGUCUACAUGGCUUUUGAAAGAAUAGAAUAGGUAAGGAGUAGUUUGGUCUCUCUUACCCUUUAUCCCUAUUAUAUAUUGAAAAGUCACUUCUUGCAUCUAACAUGAGUGCUGUUUAAACUUUAAAAGGAGGUUUUGAAUUAGUUUGUAACACACUAAAUACAAGGUUUCAAGGUUAAAGUUUUAUUGAGUUGGCUGAAACAGAUACUGUGGUGCUCUCCAGCAACUAGGGCAGUGAUGGCGAACCUAUAGCACGCCGGGCCCUCGCUGUGGGCACGCGGCCAUAGGUUUGCCAUCAAUGCAGAGUAAGUACCUGCCUGCUCAAAACGGCAGGCGCCUACUCUUCUUCCGGGUCGGGAGGAUCGGAAGCAGUGGGAGGGAUCGAGGAAGCAGCUCUCCUGUCCUCCCUCGAGCUGUGUGGAGCGUUGCCGCGUGUUACCAUGGCAACGCCCCACACAGCAUCGGGCUGGAGGACAGGAGAGCUGCAGGACCUGUCAUCCUGUCCUGCAUACUUACCACCACUGGACCACCAGGGAUGGCUGUGUUCCAUCCCUCCCCUUCACCAAAGGUAAGAAGAAGGGAAGGGGGGGUACUGAUUUAAUAAGUAUUUAAUGUUUUUUUUUUUUUUGUGUAAUGCAUCUUCAGCUCCUACCCCUACACACGGCACCCCUACCCCCCUACACACAGCACCCCUACCCCCCUAAAUACAGCACCUCUACCCACAGCACCACUACCCUCCUACACACAGCACCCCUACCCCCCUACACACAGCACUACCACAACACCCCUACCCCACACACAGCACAGCACCCCUACACACACAGUACCCCUACCCCCCCUACACCCACCCUACCCCCAACACACAGCACCCCUUCCCCCAGCACCCUACCCCCACACACAAACACAGCACCCUACACCCCACACAGACAGCACCCUACCCCCCCACACAGCACCACUAAACCCCCCACACACAGCACCUCUCAUACACAGCACUACACACGAACACACCCCUCAAUGCAGUAUAUGUGUGUGUGUUCAUCAGUCUUUAUGUAUUCAGCAGUGUGUGUGUGUAUUCAGCUGACUGCGUGUGUACUCAGCAGACUGCGUACUCAGCAGACUGCGCGUGUAUAUUCAGCAGACUGUGUACUCGGCAGUGUGUGUGUAUAUUCAGCAGAUUGUGUACUCGGCAGUGUGUGUGUGUAUUCAGCAGUGUGUGUAUUCAGCAGUGUGCGUGUAUUCAGCAGUGUGCGUGUUUGUGUGUGUGUAUUUAGCGGACUGUGUGUGUAUUUAGCAGUCUGUCUGUGUGUUGGUGUGUGUAUGUAUUAAGCAGUUGGUGUGUGAAUGUGUUCAGCAGUCUGUGUGUAUGUAUUGCAUUUGUUGGAGAUACUAAUAAAUAUAAGCUUAAUUCAUAUCAUUAUUUAAAAUUUUUAUAAUUUAACUCUCUGUUGUGUUCUUCUUUUUAAACAAAAGUUGUUAACUGUACGAGUAGUUUUUUUCUAAACGUAAACCUCAGUAUUCAGGUUUAAUUGCCAUGUUGGCACUUUGAGGGAAAAAAGUUGGCAUGUAUUGCGGUUUGGGUACUCGGGCUCAAAAAUGUUCGCCAUCACUGAACUAGGGGAAUAAACCUUACUGGAAGUUGGCUGCAAACACUAUUCUGAAACUCUUAGCCAGCAUUAAAGGAACACUAUAAUCACCUAAAUUACUUUAGCUAAAUAAAGCAGUUUUAGUGUAUAGAUCAUUCCCCUGCAAUGUCACUGCUCAAUUCACUGUCAUUUAGUAGUUAAAUCACUUUGUUUCUGUUUAUGCAGCCCUAGCUACACCUCCCCUGGCUAUGAUUGACAGAGCCUGCAUGAAAACUGGUUUGACUUUCAAACAGAUGUAAUUUACCUUAAAUAAUUGUAUCUCAAUCUCUAAAUUGAACUUUAAUCACAUACAGGAGGCUCUUGCAGGGUCUAGCAAGCUAUUAACAUAGCAGGGGAUAAGAAAAUCUUAAUUAAAGAGAACUUGCAAUAAAGAAAGCCUAAAUAGGGCUUUCUUUACAGGAAGUGUUUAUGGAAGGCUGUGCAAGUCACAUGCAGGGGCAUGUUCUAUACACCAAAACUGCUUCAUUAAGCUAAAGUUGUUCAGGUGACUAGUGUCCCUUUAAUCUAUUUGUCAGAUUUUGUCUAUUCUAGGUGUUGUGUGGUGUUCCUCUUUCCCUUCCUGAGCUAUAUGAUAUAGAAGGAGCCUUAUAUGGAAUUUAAAUUGCCUAUAAUUGAGAGGAGCGUGCCUGCUUUGCUUCGGUUUGGAGGUGGGGUAGAUUAAAUCAAUACUGUUGUAAUUAAAUCUGGUUGCACCCUCUUGGUUUGCGAGUAGACACCUAGUCCUGCUCCCUGGUUUCAAUGGCUCAGCAGAGCUGAACUUAAGAGGUAGUGCAUCCAGUUUUGCAGAGAUUUACAAUUGAGUUGCAGUGGGUGGGCCACAGAGAGUCUGGGUAGGGUUAGAAGGGGAUGGUGUGUAGGGGUAGCAGGCAAGAAAAUUGUAAGUAUCACAAACUAUUUCUGCUAAAGUUUAUACAUGUUUUUCGCUUAAAGUAUAUCUACUAAACAGGGAUCUGCAUUCGGUUGGUAUCUGGGCAGUGGAAGGUUACAUAGUUACAUUGCUGAAAAGAGACUUGCAUCCAUCAAGUUCAGCCUUCCUCAUAUUUGGUUUUUGCUGUUGAUCCAAAAGAAGGCAAACAAAAAGGUUCCUUUUAAAGGGACACUAUACUUACCUGAACAACUACAGCUUAAUGUAUUUGUUCAGGUGAGAUCUAUAGCUCCCUGCAGGCAAUCUAAUGUAAACACUGUAUUUUCAGAGAAAAUACAGUGUUUACAUUGAUUGAUAGGAAUACCUCCAGUGGCCGUCACUCAGACAGCCACCAGAGGGACUUCCUAUCAUGCAGGGCCCUAAAAAGGCCUUGUGCACGUCAGACAUAUUAAAAUACGUCUGACGUGUGCAGGAGAGAGAAGGCACUGUGUGCGCGCCUUCUCUCUUCUGCCUGUCAUGAAUGCCGCCCUCUGAAGUAUGUGCACAUGUGUGGCGAAGCAAUGACGCUUCCAAAUGGAAGCAUCUGAUUGCUCCCUGCUCGCGCCCACCUAUUUCGUCAUUUUGACGAAAUAGGGGGCGUGGCUUCAUGAGGCUCCCGGCGCUGGAACCAGGUGAGUAAAAUCCUCUGCCUGGAGAGUCCCUUUAAGUUAGGAAGCAAGUUUAUAGAUUAACACCUUAAGGACACAUGCCCUGUGUGACAUGUCAUGAUUCCCUUUUAUUCCAGAUGUUUGGUCCUUAAGGGGAUAAAGGGACACUAUAGUCACCAGAACAACUACAGCUUAUUGAAUUUGGUGAGUAGAAUCAUUACCUUCAGGCUUUUUGCUGAAUAAGAAAUGCAGUGUUUACAUUACAGCCUAGUGAUAACUUCACUGGCCAAUCCUCAGAUGGCUGUUAGAGAUCUUUCCUGGGUCAUGGCUGCCUAAAAUGCAUCCAAACAUUCGGUAGCUCCUCCCUCUGCAUGCAGACACUGAACUUUCCUCAUAGAGAUUCAUUAAUUCAAUUCAUCUCUAUGAGGAGAUGCUGAUUGGCCAGGGCUGUGUUUGAAUCAUGCUGGCUCUGCCCCUGAUCUACCUCUUUGUCAGUCUCAGCCAAUCCUAUGGGGAAGCAUUGUGAUUGGAUCAGGCUACCACUUCUGAUGAUGUCAGCACACUGCUUGUUUUUCUGAGUUUAACAGCAUGCAGAGUUACAGCUUCAGGCUUGAAUACAAUAAGAUUUAGCUAUAUUUAUGUAGGCAUGAGGGGCCAUGGGGGGCUAGAUGGUGGUGUUAACACUAUAGGGUCAGGAAUACAUGUUUGUGUUCCUGACCCUAUAGUAAUCCUUUAACCAUUUUGGCUGUUAUGCUAGCUCUCGUGAAUUCUUUGUAAGCUAUACAAAAUAGCUAUAUUUACAACAUUUUUAGCGACAUAUGUAUCAUGGCUAAGGUGUUUAUAAGCCCACAGAGGCUACAUAAGGAGAAAAAAGAUACUUAGAUAAAGGGAUACAAGCAAUGGCUCCAAAGAGUGACAAGGGUAAAAGGAAAAUGAGAUAAACAGCAAAUUGUAAAUGGAAUUUGAAGUGGGGGGGUGGGGGGAGGAGAGUGAAAACAUAAACAGGGCCAUGAAGGGGAGUAGUAAAAAAUAAUCCAUUACCAAUUUUUAUUUUCUUUAAGAGUAAACACAUAUGGGCUGUAAAGCCAAACAUACUUCAAUUACCCUUUCUUGUGUUGGCUAUGCAAACUUUAGCUAUUAGUAGAUUUGUAUAGGAUGUUUUUAGGUUAUUUUAAUGUUAAUCCUGGUGAGACAUUAUAUUAGUAAUGCUGCAGGACUAUGAGAGUGUUACCAUCCAGACCUAUGGCCUAAUCAGACCAAGGAGUGAUGGUCGCCCCAAUUUUCACUUGGCGAGAAGUAAGCCCAGGAGUCAGUUUAGGUUUUUUAGUAUAUACAUUGGUUGUUGGGGAUGGUCUUAUUUAUUUUUUCUGCAAUGGGUCUUUGCUUGUGUUGCCGUGGCAGUGGCUAUCAAAACUAACUCAUUGUUUAUACAAUAACAGUUAAAAUAGUAUCUAUAAAUGUGAAAAGGUUAAAUUUCCCUCAGAAGAGUAGAAUAAUGUAUAGAGAAUUGACUCCGUUAGAGGCUAAUAUUGCUUUAAUUUAGGAGACUUAUUUAAAUAAAUCUUAUCUGAUUACUUUGGUUGAUAAAAAGUAUGAUAAGGUCUACACCUCUGAUGCAAUAAGAAAACAUAAUGGAGCUGCGCUAUUGGUUCAGAAGAGGUGUCAAUUUCAAAUGGUAUAUACCGUAGGUGUCAUGGAGAGGCACUUUUUACUGGUCUCAGGAAUAAUGGGUAAUUGGAAGUUACAUAUUGUAAAUGGGUAUGCAUCUAAUGCUUCUGAUCCAAGAUUCUGGGAGAAAUUGGGAAGGAUAGUGGAACCAUUGAUGAUGGAUUUGGUGCUGAUUGGUGGUAUUUUUAAGCGGUUUCAUGCACGGCUCAAGACAGGGGUUCUGGUACAAAUAUAACAGCUUCCAGGCUCUUCUGGGGCUCCUUUUAGAAUAUUUAAUGGUACAAGACAGUGCUGCCCCCUGUCCCCUAUUCUAUUUGCCCUCUUGCUGGAGCCUCUUCUUCAGCGGGUGAUGACAGCAAAAGGUGCUGUACUAAAGGUGCUUGCCAUUAAGGGGCUGAAUAAUUUUGAGACUGUAGAAGUAAUUAUAAGUUGCAUUUUCAGUUGAAUUUGGGAAAACCACUUGAAGCAUUUGUUGAGUUGAGCUAUUUCAAUUCCUUUUGUUAGAUUUGCUCGUUACGAACAACGGAAAGUCUGCAAAUUUUGAAUAUAAACCUAAUUUUCAAUGGGGGUUGAAUAAUUUUGAUUACAACUGUGCAUAUUUAUUAUAAUUUAUUAUAAUUCUUCCGUGUGUCAAUUAGAAACAUCAAUAUGCAUUAGACUUAGAUUUUCAUUAAGUUUAUUUUGCUUACAAUUACUAAUAUAAAAUAAGGGAUGUUACAGGAUGAUGGAUGUUCAGCAGCAGAUGUUAACUGCUGGACUCAGGAAGGUAGAGGUAGAGUGUGCAAAGUCAGGGAACAAACUAACAGACAACAAGCCUAGUGGUCCCUUGUCCACUAUGCUAUAUAGCUAUGGUCAAAAUUACGUCAGACCUUUUAGCUAUAACUCUGGUCAUAUAAGGACACGUAUGAAAACCGUCUUUAUAUGUAACCACAUUCCAGAAUUCUCAGACAAAGAAAACCAUGUGACUUAUUGACUGUGAAUAUUACUUAUGCUCAAUCUAGACACCCAUAUCUCAUGACAUUAGAACAUGCAAUAUUCUACAAGUCCUUCUGUUUAUUGUUUGUCCUAAAACCAUAGCACAAUGUCGGUGACCUUUCCAUCCAUACAUCUUUCAUAUCACAUUUGUCUCACAAUUAUUGAGUAUAAAUCAAGUUGUAUUCACAUUUUUCUGGGAUAUGAGAAUUCUUGGAAGUUUGAGGUGCUAUCCUUCUUGCUGUUUCUUUUAUUUCAAACUGCCUCUGUUUUAGCUAUUUAUUGAUAUCAGUAAGAUCUGCCUGCUCAUGUACAGUUAUGUAUUUGUAGACAACAAAAUCAAGAUAUUGUUAGUGAUAAAAUUACUGUGUAUCACAAACAUAUAUUUCUAAUACAGACACCUAUAACAAAGUUAUUUCUUUCUCAAGAACUGGUAUUACUGAAGUACUAAUACAUGUAUUACUUGAUUCCAAUACAAUUGAUAACACCAAGUGACGGUUAUACCAGUACUUUCAAAUCAGAAUAUUCAAUUUGUAUAUUCAGUAAGCUCUCACUAUCCGAAAUAAACUAACACUUCUUAUAAGAUUCAUAAUAAUUUGUAAACAUUCAAAGCUAGUGUGAACCCUCAAAUAAUUCUUCAAAUAAUGUUCAUGCCGUUGACAGUACUCAUUGUUCUAGAAAUUCUCCACCCAGGAAUCUUUCCAUCACAUCUAUUUGUGUUUAUUUACAUUAUUAUCAUUCCCACUAAAUGUCCACCCUAUAGUAACAAACAUUUUUAUUCAUUAGGAAAAACUUACACUUGAAAUAGUUUACUUGAAAAGAACUCGGAAGAGAUAAUUUAAAUUCAUUAUCAUCACUUUCUUCCUUGACAUAUGCCUUUGCUUCUUUAACGUAGGAUUGUCCAAAUGUUUCCUAAACAUCUGUUCUGACCAAUCCGUAUUCUCUAGUACAUUUCUUCAAUAAGCAUUGGGUCAUAAUACAUAUAAACUCGAAUCCCUUGUCCAUAACAAACUCAGCAAAUAAUUUACAUUGAAUACCAUCAUAUCCAGAACCCUAUUCUUUCUAGUCCAUACAAUUAUAGACUUGGGUCACAUAUAAUUUUAUGGCAGGACAGGAGGCUUCAUAUUUGCUUUACCUUCUUUACUGAAACCUCCAGCAGCAAAGAAACAGUUAACAGAACUUUUCAAAACAACCAAUCAGAACAAAGCAACAGUAGUAUAAAACCCCUAAGCAGGCUCUUCCACUCCCUCUUUCUUUGCUGCUGCCUCCAGGUGAGCACUCACCAACUCAGAGUUGUCUCUGCUCUUGGUUGUUGUUUUAUCCUACAUGCUGCUUGCUUAUUUAAACAGUCUAUUUAAUCAGUCUAUUUGUUAGGUUUGUUUAAGCAGCUUAAUUGCUGGGUUUAUCUAGGCAGUCUAUUGCUGGGUUUAUCUAGGCAGUCUAUUGCUGGGUUUAUCUAGGCAGUCUAUUGCUGGGUUUAUCUAGGCAGUCUAUAGCUGGGUUUAUCUAGGCAGUCUAUUGCUGGGUUUAUCUAGGCAGUCUAUAGCUGGGUUUAUCUAGGCAGUCUAUUGCUGGGUUUAUCUAGGCAGUCUAUUGCUGGGUUUAUCUAGGCAGUCUAUUGCUGGGUUUAUCUAGGCAGUUUAUUCUGUGUUAUUUCCUAUACCACUUCAUGCUAUGUAGCUGCAUUAUUAUUUAUUAACAUCUGUUGCUGUAUUUAUCUGACAGAUUCUGUAUACUGCUUUAUUCUGUUUUCUCACUCUGCUGUAUGGGGAAUGGAUGCCCCUGCUAUGAUGCUUUGGCUCUGCCUGUAAUUUGUUCCCCUGCUGGGCUCUGUCGCCCAUACCCUUUCUCCCUUAUUCCACACCUGCUCCCCGUGGCCCCUGGCAGCCUUUUCUACCGUGGCAUUGCCGCACGAUCACCACGCGGUUGGCCGCGCUCUGUUUUUGCAGCCACGGCAGCCAUUUUGUUAGAUCCGCGGCGGCCAUUUUUCAGAGCCACAUGGGCUCUGUGCGUUGCGAACAGCCAGGUCUCACCCGAGAACUGGCCUGCUGGCCAUGUGGCCACCCUCCCCUCUCCCUAUAUCAGGGGAGAUAGCCCAGUUUUUCAGCUAUCCCUCUACUUACUGUGCCUGUCUCACAUGCUGCAUAUGUAACAGAUCCUGGAUAGCAGGAUCAUAGCAGGAUCUGUCCCAGGCACGCUCACAACUGCAGUUUACUAUGUCUGAUGCAAUGUGACUAGGUUCUCUAUCUUAGCAGUAGACUUUUUUUACUAUUGCAUGUGAAUCUCAGAUUUAAAGAGACAUGUUACUGCUCAAAUAAAAAUCUUUGUUUAACAGGACUAUGCCACAUGUGUUAUAUGCUAAUCAAGUCUUUCUCUAAGGUUCAGUCUUUUUCUCAUAAAAAUUAAAUGGCCUGUUUUUCAGCACCUAGCUCCCCUGCCUAGGAUUUGCUGCCCUUCCUGCAAGGGACUUAAAUUUUCCACUACACAUACAAUUCAAAAGUGUAUCCUAUUAUAAUACCUGAGUGGUCUGUGAGUCAGCUUCUCGCUAUAUGGACCCUCCUACCCCUCAGGGGGGCUACUGGCCCCACAAUCAGACCUGUUAUUAUUGGGGGGGUGAACCCCCCCCCCAUCCAUAUUUCUGGGGCUCUACCCGCUACUGGACCAUAAUAAUGGACAUAUGACACCACUGUGGGCUGGGUGACCCCCUCCCUCUGGCAACAUGGCUACCUAUGAGUACCCUGCUGGCUCUACGGCGUCCUGUAAGAUUAAUGCUGAGGGUGACCCCCUCCUGCUUCCUAUACUAAUGCUCCGGCAAUGUCCUGCUAAAAGAGGGUACCCCUCCCACUGAUUGAGCUUCUGUUCUUACAGUGCCCUGCAUUACGCAGAUACUGAGGGUGACCCCCUCCUGUGGACUACUCUGCUGGACCUACAGGGUCCCAUUAUAACCAUAAUGAGGGUGACUCCCUCUCGCUGACUACACUGCUGGGUGUACAGACCUCUAUGAUACCACACUGAGGGUGACCCCCUCUUACCUACAGCACUGUUGGAUCUGCAAUGCCAGGUUCUGGUUAUAUGAGGGUGACCCCCUCCUGCCGUCUACACUGCUGGACCGGCAAUGUCUGGUUACUUUAUUAUACGGCUAACCACUUCGGCACUACUGUACCCACAGUGUCCGAUUAUGUUCAGACUGAGGGUGACCCCCUCCCUGCUGGCCUAUACUGCAUGGUAUGCUUGUGCUUGUUGGGUGACCCCCUCUUGCACGCUGGGUGACCCCCAGCUGGCCGCACCACUGUACCUACAGUGUCCGAUUAUGUUCAGACUUAGGGUGACCCCCUCCCCUGCAUGCCUAUACUGCAUGGUAUGCUUGUGCUUGUUGGGUGACCCCCUCUUGCACGCUGGGUGACCCCCAGCUGGCCGCACCAGGUAUCAUUCCGACAGUGUUACCUCUAUGGCAGUUGUGCAAUCACGGCUGUAGGACAAAUCUCCCGUACCCAGAAGGUCACUUGGCCUGUCCUCUUGCCGCCCCGCUGACCUCACUGCCAGAAACCAUCGGUACCCUACGGGGACAUUCCACCGGCCAUCCUAAACGCUACACCAAGCACCCCUGGUACUCGUUGGCUAACGGAUGGAUUCAUCAAGAGGAUCAGUCUUCAUGACGGACUCCGGAAAGGACACCGCAAACACCUGACACUGGGUUUGCACUCUAUCUGGGACUAACCAGUGGAUGUCAGUGACAUACGGACACAGAUGUUUCCUCGGGACGAACGGCGCGUUACCGCUUGGAAAGCGGAGAAGACUAAAUUCCCACUGGGAAUGGACCGAUAUGACUUAUAGGUAUCGCCUAGUUGGUUUCUACCCCCUGAGAACCGCAAAACGGCCCCUGUCCAAGCUGGACAUCAAACUGAUGGAUUUAGCAUCCAAGUGCUGGGUCUGCUCUCCGGAGUUACCCUCAUGUACAAAUUGAGCUGACACGUCUCUAUUCAUAGGGUUCCCCCUUAACUAAGCCCAGAGGUCUCUCGGACCGUGCCCGGACUCCAGAUCAAGGUUUCGGAACCUUGGACCGUUCCAUGAGCAAUACGCAUGACCAAAAGAGGCAUGCAUUCCGACUCAUUCCGCAGUUGCCCUGCUGGGCAAAGUGUGCGGUGGAGUGGACUCCCGUCCCAUCCCCACGCUACAUGCUCCCAGUGCAUAUGUCGUCUGUUGACACAUUUUGAGACGGAGGGCACUCAUCCCCUCUGAGAGCUGCUCGGCGUUGACGAUUGGUUCUCUCCCUCAAAUGCACAUGAGAGAAACCCGCAUGGAUUUUGCCAUCAACAUGGACAUAUUGAAUCUGACUCACUCCCAGUCAACCCAGUUUCCGGUCUUUCAUGGAAUAUUCGGUCCAGGCGGUGCUCCGCCUCCCGAGGACCAAGAUGUACGUCUUCAAGGAAAAUACCAGGUAUAUGCUCUGCAACCCGCGGGUUACACUUAGGGGCCCAACCCGGUUAAUUGACCGGUGCCUAUUCGCCAUGGAAGCCAUACCUCCAGGAUCCGGUACUAUCAGCCGCUCCAACAUGGCGCUUUCUUGGGUCUUCGGCCUCGUAUGACCAAAUCAUGUGACCUUCGGAUGAAGCUCAUCUAAAACUUAAUUGAUGACUCCGGAGGAGGGACUCCUUUACGCCAACUGCAUGGAUCUACCUGCAGGUUUGUUCAACAUUCACAGUAUUGCUCGCUACCUUCCGGCAUGGACUUCUCACCGGUUGCCCACUACGGACUGCAGCUAUCCAUAGCUUCUGGACAAGUAUUCGUCAUUUGUGACAGAAUGUAUGCGGGACGAGACACUCGUGUGGCGGACGGCUUCACCCGACCAUGGAGAGACCCCAAUGAUUGGUUGCCUCACCCUCCAGGAUCUCGAGUACUGGCAUGAUUACAUUCGGUGCGAACCGCCAUACGGAGCGGUUCUCCAACUGGCUGCCGGACCCUCAGCGAGGCGAGGGACGAGUUUUCCAAGCUUGGUCUCCUUCGGGGCGGACGCAUCCCGUUUACCUACAGGAUACUUUGGGUUUUGCUUCAGACCGAAUUCCUGGAAGUGUCGUUUCGCCUGGCUAAACCACUUCGGAGGAGUCCUGCGUGCUUUCCCCUUUUUGCUGGAGUUUGCCAUGGGAAGGCAAUCUACGACUCCCUGUCUCUUAAUGUCCCACAUGGGAUCCACAGGGGUAGCCUGCCAUGACUGGUGUUUGGGUCCCAAUGGCGGUCCUUAUCAUGGCUGUCCCCAUUGUUUGGCUGAGUUGCCCUCUCAGGAUAGGAUCGUAUGGGGCCAUUCAUGUCCUAUGUCAGCUAGUGGACGACUCAUGUGCGUUUUCUCAAGAUUCUGGCAUUGCUAAGGAUCUCUUGGUCUGCAGUCUACCAAGAGGAGUAUACCGUAUGGGAGCCCUAUCUCUCGCUAUUCCUCAAGUCUAGUGGUAUCGUGUGUUCUGCAUUUCUUUGAGGAAUGACCUGAUGACAAGGUGCACCAGUUUUUUCCGCUUACGGUUUCCCCCCAGUACAUCUUGUAUUUCAUCGCGUUCUGACGUCAUGGUAUCGACGCGUCUUCUUCCUUCUUGCCGUUCAGUACAUCGGCUUCUGCUCCACACAUAUUUCAUUUUUAUUCGUCCUCUGUGUCGCACCCCUAUUCUCCGGAUAGGCCACGGCUCUGUUGACAGAUUGUACACGACCAUGUAGAUCCAGGAUCUGGUUCUUUUGUCCAUCUACUCAUGGACAGCUGUUUAUUUCUGCAUACAGCCGUUUUGGACUGUUUCUGCAUCUUCGCUCGCUCGUUGGAUUUGGUGGAUCCUCUCAUUGACUGACCUUGAGUUCCUCUGGGACACUUUUGGUUCGGGGUGCUGUCACCUCAACAAUUUUGGAAGCCGUUGGGUCCCUUCUGCAUUUUCUCUACACCGCUGCUUGGUUUAGGGAAUCAGUUUUUCCAUUCUCCUUUAUUUCAGUCCUCUAUCUCAUAUUGCUUCUGGUUCUACUAUUUGGGUGUUAAAAUUGCAAAUAUGAAGCCUCCUGUCCUGCCAUAAAAUUAGGGAUUAUUCUAGCCUCGGUGAGGGAAUAAUCUAAAUUUUAUUAAAGACAGGAGGCGAAUAUUUCCCCCCCUUUUUUUACGUUCCCUCCCUGGAUCUGAGUUUUAUUCUAUUAUAAAUAAUUGGGGAUAUUGUUAUGUUUUGUGAAUGCAUGGUUUUACAUAAUAAAGGUUAUUUCUAAUAUUCAGUGAUGGUUGUCUCUGUUCGUUUUAUUCAUCAUGUUUUUGUUUUAAUUAUGUUUCGUCAAUGCCUUUUAGCUUAGGUACAUACUAGGUCUUCAUAAGAUCUGUAGACUUUGUUUAUUCAUCAGGUAUUAUGAUGUGAAAGUGAUAUUGUAUGGAUAUGACAUCUUGCCUUGACAGUCUACUUUCACAAUGUUUUCUGUUUUCUUGCAGUGUAAUCUGUUUUUCUCUCUGGGCUUGACGAUUGUUUCUCUGGACGUGUCUGCUACAAGGUGGAUUCGUUGGUUUCCUUGCUCUCCUGCUCGACCUCAUCAAAGAAAGAGGAAGUGGAAGAGCCUGCUUAGGGGUUUUAUACUACUGUUGCUUUGUUCUGAUUGGUUGUUUUGAAAAGUUCUGUUAACUGUUUCUUUGCUGCUGGAGGUUUCAGUAAAGAAGGUAAAGCAAAUAUUCGCCUCCUGUCUUUAAUAAAAUUUAGAUUAUUCCCUCACCGAGGCUAGAAUAAUCCCUAAUUGUAUACUAUCAUCUUAAUUAAAUUCAUCUUGGAUUUCUGCACUAUCCAGCAUAAUUCUUAUACCCUAGGUAUUCAUAAUGUAUACCAUUACUUAAAAUGAAUCAUCAUAACUUAUCCUUCCUUAGUUUUCUUAAUUUUUCUACCAUACUUUGUUUUACUUCACCUCACUAUCAUCAAGUUACUUGUUCUUGUGAAUCUAUGAAAAAUACUAUUGAACACACUCAUAUCAUUAAGUACACAUGAAUCCUGUUUUAUCUACCUCUUAUACUUUUCAUCAUAUGUAUAGGUCAUCAUGUACAAUGUCAUAGUUCACUUCAUAAUACUAUCCUUUGGUAAUUUUACCCCAUGUGUUAAACAUUUUAUAAGUACUCUCUCUUGGUAUCAAUACCCUCAUAACUGGUAAAUAACCUUUCAUUGUCUGUUUUCUUUUCCAUUAAUAUAUUAGGAAUUGAUAUGUAUGUUAGUGUUAGUCAUUUAUUUAUUUAUUUUGAAGUCUGUUCAUCUUCUGUAUUAAAUUAGCUCUGUAGCAGUGUUCAUCAUAGUUUGCAGGUCAGAAGUAAAGUCUCUUUCUAACAGUAGAUGUCCAGUUGUUUAAUGGAAUGCUUUCCUAAUUUGUCAACUGGAUAUGUCGCUCUUUACUUAUAUUAAAACAAGAAACAUGUGCAGCAUGAAUACAAUGACUUACGUUAUUUAAAUGUCAGUGUUAUUUUACAGUUUAAGCCUGUGGCGAAAGUAACCUCGCCACAGGCUUUUGGAGGAGCCUGCUUGCCGCCUCCUGCCCCAGGACUAUGGCCCAUCAGACCUUGGUUCAUGUAUUUGAACAAUAUGGUUCGGGAACCGAACAGCUGCACGAACCGGAGACCACCCUGGAGCUUGACACUUUGUAGCAGUUUCAACCGCGGUGUUCUAAGUGUUCGUCUGGGUGGUCGCAUUUUCUAUCAAUGACCACAAGGUGGUGGUCAUCUUGUUCGCACAAAUGCAGGCAGCGUUGUUUGAUUGUCGAGUUCAUGAAACUAUUUUCGGACACUGAAACUCCCGAACACUGCUGGACUUCCAUCACCACCUGCGUUCGGUUCGAUGGAAACGUUCCCACGAACAAGGGAAUCAAGCUCCAGGGUUCAGAACUUUGACUCUGUUCGGUAUUUUGUUCAGUUAUAAACUACUCUAGACUACCGAACUAGACUGACCGCAAGCCCUGAUUCUCUGGAACUGUUUUGAGCAUGGGACCAUGCGUACGGUUGGUCAAACUUAAGACUUCCAGGAAAUUCCUGAACCCCUGAACUGAUCUGGGUGAUUUUUGGAUAUGUUGGUCACCCAGAUCGGGGCUAUCAGGGGUUGUAACUUUUUGUGUAUUUUAAGGGUAUGUUUAAUCUGUCAUAAAAAUGUGUGUUUUUGUAUCUGGAGAUAAUUGAGUUAAUACAGUGCUUGACAAUUAUCUCCCAGGUACAGAGGAGGGAUUAACCUAUUAUGUAUGGGAGUGACCUGGAUCUGAGAGCCAAUGUGAUUGUGUAAUUGUUUCUACUCUCAGGUCCAGGGGGGAGUGUCCCUUGCAUGGACCUGCAUAUAAGGCCAGUUGUGGCUACCAUUAAACGAGUUCCUGCAUAUCCUCAACAUAGACUCUCAUCUCAUGUGUGGGGGAAACAGAUGUAUCUGCUCUAGGGAUUGCUAUAUCUUGAUACUCCCCUGGGUUAUAAUCACUUUCUCUUGUUAGAGCAGCCUGUUACACUCUCUGGAGUAGGAGAGUUACACCAUCCCAUCAAUUUUGUGUAUAAACACACACUUAAGGAUACACACUUGAAAAAGAAAUAUAUAGUGCAGAUGUAUACCCCUAAAUAGGAUAUAUUAUAUUAACGUAUAUCCAAAUGUAUUUUGUAUGUGUCUACAUGCUGGAUAUGAGAUAACACAUUGUGUUUUCUCAUCAUAUAUUUAUUUUUCUCUCUCUUCCCCCUCUCUUUCCCCUUGCCACCAUGGGUUUUUAUGGUUAUUACUGUAUUUGGAGUAUCUUAGCCUUGUUAAAUAUGCCAUUUGGUAACACUCCUAGAUAUACUCUUUUUCCCUUCUCCCCCCUCCUUCCCUCAUCUUUUUUCUCCUUUUUCCCUUUUCCAAGAUGGGGUGUUUACAGUCUGGUGCCACCAGAGGGGUUUAGGCUGAUGCACACUAACGUGUGAUGUCAUCACGGCCACCCCCCGUCCAGUGCCAGAACCUCCCCCUAGUACAAUUGGGAGUCGGCAAUACCGAGGACUGGCAUGUAUGACUGGCAUAUUCGGAAUGCUGCGUCAUUUCCACCUGUCAGAGGAGGGAGGGUGGAGGGUGCAUGACCGACACCUCUGACCACCAAUGUAUAUAAUUUGGCGGGAUUCUCUUUUCCGGUGGUGGAUGGCGGAUCUGACGAACAGAGUUUCACGUGACAUCAUUUCCGCCAACCACAAACUGUUUUUUAUACCUCUGAGCCACCAAUGAUUAAUUGUUAAAUUACACAAGUAUGGGUGGGAAAGCCAAUUAUCCAACCAGGGGCUACCCAACCACAGGUGUCUCCAGGUCACAUCAGCAAUUCCAGCAAAUGUGCAUUAAGGAUUCUUUGUGGGAAUUGCCAUCCCAGAAAUUGGCACAGAACUUAAGGCUCUUAAUAAGGUGAGCACAAUACUUUAUAUAUAUAUAUAUAUAUAUACAUAUAUAUACACCGCAUUUUUGCACAGUACUACUCAUCUGGUCUACUUCCCUUCUCUCCUGUUUCUUUGGAGGAAUACCAUCGAGGAAAGGGGUGUGUUGCUGCCCAAAGAGCAUUAAGGCUUAUUUUACGGAGCCAAUACCAUAUAGGCUCCAGACCAUGUGAGUGGUCUCUAGUUAUUCCACUUUCAUCACCUAUUAGUAUAUAAGACCAUCUGCACUAUAUAUUACUUUAUUUUUCUUAUACAUGCAUUUUCAAGUGUUUAUCCUUAAAGGGACACUCCAGGCACCCAGACAACUUUUGCCCAUUGGAGUGGCCUGGGUGCCAACUCCCACUACCCUUAAACCUUCAACUGUAAUUAUUGCAGUUUUCAUAAAAUAGAAUGGCUUUGGGAGAUCUGCACAAUAUUUUUGUAAUUGGGAAAAGAAAAAUGUAGGAAGUGGCAAGAGUAUUGCAUUUAGGGUCUACAGGUAGUACCAUCGUCAGUGUAGGCAUGUAAAUAGGAGGUGUGUUAUACAGAGUAAAUACGCAUAGCUAAGUUAGCGGGUGUGCUAGUAGUGUGACAAGUAGUAUUUGAGCUACUGUCUGGUAAGUAAUUGAAGCAUGGUUAGAUACAGUAAAAUUAUACAUUAUAAGGUAGUGCCUAGCUAGGGGUCAUUAGUGGACUCGGGGUUGGCUCCUGUUUGUGUGAGGGGGUGAGUCAGUCAACCUAUGUCUUUCUUAAGGGGACCUCCACCUCCAAGAGGUGAGUAUGUUGUGUAUUGCCGUGCCGGGUAAAUGAAGUGGACUAUAGGUAAGGAGUUUUAGCCUUAGUGUUGCCGAUAAUUUGCGGUGCUGAUGGGAGGUAGGCGGGCCCGGGGAAGGGGGGUUGGAGUAUUUGAUCCGCAGGAGAGUGUCAACUGGAUAUCUUAUUAAUGAGAAAUAAUAUUUAAUAAGUGAAUAAGUAAAUAAAUGCCUAUCAAACCCACUCCAUAACAAAUGUGAUGGUCAAAAACAGAAAAAAGAAAACAUAUCUGAAGACAAAUCCUAAUCCUAAUCCUCCUAAUGCUCUGCUUGGCAGUUUCCCUAUUCACCAGACUCUAGACUUUAAUAACAUAAAUAUGGUCAAUGUCUGGGGUGGGAAUAUAUUCUGUAUGUAAGCAGAGAAAAUAUCCAGACAGUACUAAUCUAUACACCCUUAUCAAAUAUAAAUAGCUACAACAAUGUGCGACGUAAUGAGGUAAAAUCUCUCUCUUUCGUCUAGAUAAGGGAUUGUGAAUAGAGAUGAGCGGACACCUGGAUGUUCGGUUUAGUCGGGUUCGGCCGAACUUCUGCAAAAAGUUCGAGUUCGGACUCGAACUUGACCCGAUCCCGAACUCCAUUGAAGUCAAUGGGGACCCGAACUUUUGGGCACUAAAAUGGCUCUAAAAAAGUCCUGGAAAGGGCUAGAGGACUGCAAAAUGAAGUAAAGUGGGGGUAAGAGUAGGACAAGUGCCCUGCAAACAAAUGUGGAAGGGGAAAUAACUUAAAAUAAUAUGAAAUACAUAAAAAAUUCAAAUAAUAAUCUUGAACUAGGAGGAGGAGGUGGAUGUGGAGUAGGAGGUUGAGGAGGCGGUGACUGUGGCAAUGUAGGUGGAAGCGGCUGUGGAGGAGGUAGCCAACACUGUUUUUUAUUUGUUUGUUUGUUUUUUGUUUUUUUUUUAAUUGGGGUAGCCCCCAAAAUAUUGGGACAUAUGAAAAAAGAAAACAAAGAAUAAGUGCACUUUAGUAUAACAAUGGCUGGAUGAGGCCGGUUCAUUUUAAUAAACGUGAGCUUGUCCACGUUGGCUGUGGACAGGCUGCUGCGCUUGUCUGUCCCCUGCCAUGCUAAACACACGUUCAGACAAUACACUGGCUGCAGGGCAGCCCAGCACCUCCAAGACAUAAAGGGCAAGCUCAGGUCAUGUGCCCAAUUUGCAGACCCAGAAGUUGAAUGGGGCAAACCCAUCAGUCAGUACAUGUACGCAUGUGCACAUGUACUGUUCCACCAUGUUGCUGAAAUGCUGCCUUCUGCUAAGACGUUCCAUAUCAGAUGGUGGUGGUGGUUGUUCUGGCGUGCUGACAAAGCUUUUCCACAUUUCGGCCAUGCUAACCCUGCCUUCUGAGGUGCUGGCGGUGCCCCAGCUGCGUUGGCGACCUCUUCCUCCUCCUCUGCCUUCGCCUUGUGCUUCCACUGAGCCCCCGAUGUCAGUUGGGAAUGCCCUCAGUGUAACGGAUCGACGGGCACCCCAACUGGGUACCUCCGUUGAUGGAUGCUCCUAGCGCUUCCUGAGGACUCCAAGCACUGCAGCAGACACCACAACCACCGAACCAGAGAAGCAUACGAAUGCUCUCAAGCAUAUGAAUGCUAUAAACAGCUGAACAGGAAAAGCAUACAAUCAGCUUACACUCCUGGCAAUCAGCAUACAAUCCAAUUCCCCCAAUAACGAGACGACACUUUGUUUUGAGGUCAAGCAGAACUGACUGUACUGGCACAUACAGCCUCUUUUAUUCACAAUCCACAAACAUAGUACUGCCCACUGGGUUUUGAAAUACAACCAAUCAAUCCGUAAAAUACACACAGACACUACCGCACAAAAAUCCUCCCCUCUGCCUGUGAUAGAAUUACUGAACACAAUGGUUAAUAUAAUUAUCACAGGCAGAGAAAUACAGUAUUAUAAAACAUAUCACAGGGACCCCAAAACAUGCAAUAACCCCAUAAAUAUAUAUAUCCUCGGAUCCGUUCAGUAGUUUUGGAAGAUACAGUUUAAUGCAGAUUCCGCAGAACAUAUGCAAGCUAUAUGAAAAAUAAUUACUGUAUAAUGUGUCCCCGUUGUAUAGUUUAAAACUACUGCACAAUGUCUUUGUGCACCAAAUACCGGCGAGAUGGCACCGUGUAGAAAAGUCCAAACAGUGUCUGUGAGUUAAAAUGGCCGCCAUCCAUUGUUCUCACCAUGUGCCUCUGAUACAUGAAAUGGUGGCCACCCAGUAACUCCACAGUAUGUCCCCAGAUGGUUCUUAAAGGGCCAGCAGCAGCAUAAUAAAAUACAAUAUGCCCAAAUACUGUAUCUAAAGGGCCAAAUCUCCCAGGGGCCGCAGGCAGGAGGCGGGCAAACCCAGGAGGCUUUUCCAAUGCCCAGUGGCGAGGUUUUUUCGUCACACUCAGCAGCGCGUCUACCAGUGUGUGCUUGUAGUCGCGCAUCUUCCGAUCACGCUCCAGGGAGGGAAUUAAGGACGGGGAUUAAGGAUGUCCUUGUAACGGGGAUCCAGCAGGGUGGCCACCCAGUAAUCAGCACAAGUUAGAAUGUGGGCAAGUUGGCAGUCGUUGCGCAGGCACUGCAGCAUGUAGUCGCUCAUGUGUGCCAGGCUGCCUUAGUGGCAGAAAGCAAGUGAGCUGGCCCCCAGCGAUACAAAACUAUGAAUAAAAAUUUUCAAAAUUACGUAACUUAGAAGAUAAAAGCAAGAGGAUCUAUAUUUAUAAAUACCAUGUUUUCAAUAAUUUUCUUUGCACUAUUAUCAAAUCCUUUAUGAGACAGGACUUUUCAAUAGAUUUUAAUAUCUAGACCAAUGAGAACCGUAGAUUAUAUCUAUUUACAUUAAAAUCAUAUUUAAAAGAACACUAUAAAGGUAGGCAGCCAAUGUAAUAGAGCAGAAGGAAAUGCUAGCAGAAUGCUUGAUUGUAUAGGGAAAGGUAUUAGCAGUAGAAAGAGUGAAGGGCUCAUGCCAUUGUACAGAACACUGGUAAGACCUCACUUGGAGUAUUGUAUGCAGUACUGGAAACCGUAUCUUCAGAAAGAUAUUGAUACCUUAGAGAGGGUUCAGAGAAGGGCUACUAAACUGGUUCAUGGAUUGCAGGAUAAAACUUACAAGGAAAGGUUAAAGGAUCUUAACAUGUAUAGCUUGGAGGAAAGACAAGACAGGGGGGAUAUGAUAGAAACAUUACAAAAAACAUUACAACAAAAAAUAUAUAAAGGGAAUCAACACAGUAAAGGAGGAGACUAUAUUUAAAAAAAGAAAAACUACCACAGCAAGAGGACAUAGGCUUAAAUUAGAGGGGCAAAUGUAAAAAUAAUUUUUGGAAGUAUUACUUUACUGAGAGGGUAGUGAAUGCAUGGAAUAGGCUUCCAGCUCAAGUAGUAGAGGUUAACACAGUAAAGGAGUUUAAGCAUGCAUGGGAUAUGCAUAAGGCUAUCCUAACUAUAAGAUAAGGCUAGGGACUAAUGAAAGUAUUUUUUAAAAAUUGGGCAGACUAGAUGGGCCGAAUGGUUCUUAUCUGCCAACACAUUCUAUGCUUCUAUGUUUGCUAUAGGGUCAGGAACACAAACAUGUAUUCCUGACCCUAUAGUGCUCAACCCACCAUUUAGGUGGCUUGCCCUCCACCUUACCCCCCUUAAAAGGAGUUACAACUCCCCUUAUUGCUGAUUUUUAGCCACAAUAAUUUGUGGUCUUGUCGGAAUAAUGUUUAUUAGCACAUAUUCCUGUUGUAGUGCAUGACAAUGUUUGAUUAAUAUUUUCUUUAGAGUCUUAUUUUUAUUAUUAAAAUCUAGAAUUUUAAGUAACGUGGAGUUGCUAUUUUUUCUUUUGUCUUUAUAAACGAACAGACUAUCUCUAUCUUGAUUUUCAGCAUGCUUGAUUGCUUCUUCAACAGAGUCUGAUGUCAAAUUAUUUUCAUUUAGUUUUUCUUUUAAUACCUGGGCCUGUUUUUUUUGUUUUUUUUUUUAAAUGUAUUAAAGUUGAGCAGUUUCUCCUGAGUCUUUUUUUCCUGUUUUUGGUCAUCCCGCUGAGCCAUGGGUUGUGGUGGCAACUUGAUUGAGCGAUAAAAGCAUUCGUAUGGACUUUUUAAAAAAAGUAUGUGUAUUUACUUGCAUAUCAUGUAUAAAGAUCUGUAAAUCUAAAAAAAUGUAUACUCUGUUUAAUGUAAUCCAAUUUUUUUUUGCUUUAGGUCACUCAGGAAAAUUAUGAAAACAAUGGGUGCUAUUUUUAUUAUUUUUAUAUCAAUUUGGAAUUUUGCAGUUUUUGGUAAGGUUUUUUUUACGUGAUGUGUAUAUUUUAAAUAAGUUACAAAAUAAUUAUAUUUUAAUUGCGUACUUUCUUUACCUAUAACAAUAUGUUUAACACAAUUUAAUUUUACGAGGAACACAUUUGUUAUGCUAUAGAGCUUGAGCUACUCAAGAUCAUCUUUUAUACAGGGGUAAAAAGAUAACCGUAUUAAUAGGAUAAAAAUACAACUUUUCAAAACGUUCUAACAUGAAUCUCUUAGUCACAAUGCUGCUCUCAUUUAUUAUCCACUUAGGUUAAAACUAUACACUUAAAUUGUUACUCUAACACUUUUUAAAUAUAAAUAGAUGUAUUUAAAUCACAAUUCCCUUUUGGUCAUUAGUAAAUAAGCCCCCCUCCCUAUAAACCUUUCAAAGUAGUGGAUAGGAUAAGCUUACAUGGAAUUUAGCACCAGGGUAAGCACCCUUUUCAUAGAAAAUCAUUUGAUUGCUCCUCAGCUCCAUUGGUCUGCCUGCAAUGGUAGAAACUGACAACUUCUGUUUACAGCAAGCAGAACAGUGCUCGCUGACAACAAACUUCUGCACAUAUUUAAUGUUCCAGGCUACCCAAGUCAUGUGUGCCGGGGUUGUAACUAGCCCCUGGCACAAAAGUGAAUAUAUCUCUGGAUGUGAAGUAUUUCAAGCAAAAAUGUUGCACAUACAGACCUCUACCACCAUGACCACUUCUAAAGGAAGACGUGUGUAUGGUGGUUGGAGUAACUCUUUAAGAUAAUAUACAGUAAACACAUGGCUGGCCCAAGACACUGUCGUGUCUGAGUCCAAAGGCAAAGUACCCCUUCACAAAAAUGUAACAUCAGACUUCAACAUAUGAUGUUGAACUGAUUUGGCAUUUAAUUUAAGUGAAAUUUGGUAGGGUUUCAGGGAAGGGUAAAACAAACCUAUCGAAGAAGAACCAGCAGUGGCAUGUUCAAGCUGUCAAGAGACUAAGUAGAUCUAACAGUAACACAGCACCUUGAAAAGGAACCAGGGGAUGCAGGUCAUAUAUGGGUAAACUGACAAAAUACAUCUUCAUAUGGUGUUAAUAUUGGUAAUGAUAGAGAGUAUAUACAAUCCUAGUAGACAACCCAUUAAGCAUACCACACCUUUUAGGUACUUGAUAAUAUGGCCUGGGAAUUAAUUAAGCAAUCAAUCAAUUAAACAUCUCAGGGAUGGUGGUUUAAAGGCAACAUCAAAACAAAUAAUAACUCUUAAAUAAUGACUCAGAACAGCAUAUAAAAGGUAAUGAUACUCCUAAAUAUAAACAAGUAUAUUUAAUGAGAUGCAUAUGCCCUAAUAAAACUAUCACCAAUAUAUAAAUACAUAAAAAGUAUAUAUAUAUGUGAUAUAUUUUUAAAAAUAUAUAUAGAUAAAAAGUAUAAACUGGUUCAUGGAUUGCAGGAUGAAACUUACAAGGAAAGGUCAAAGAAUCUUAACAUGUAUAGCUUGGAGGAAACAUUGAUAGAAACAUUUAAAUACAUAAAGGGAAUCAACACAGUAAAGGAGGAGACUAUAUUUAAAAGAAGAAAAACUACCAAAAUAUGAGGACAUAGUCUUAAAUUAGAGUGGCAAAGGUUUACUUUACUGAGUGGGUAGUGGAUGCAUGGAAUAGCCUUCCAGCUGAAGUAGUAGAGGUUAACACAGUAAAGGAGUUCAAGCAUGCGUGGGAAAGGCAUAAGGCUAUCCUAACUAUAAGAUAAGGCUAGGGACUAAUGAAAGUAUUUAGAAAAUUGGGCAGGGUAGAUGGGUCGAAUGGUUCUUAUCUGCCGUCACAUUCUAUGUUUCUAUAAAUCUAGGAGAGUUUAUAACUCCAAAUCCAUUGGUUAAGAACUACUUGCGUAUGGAGGAAUUACGCUCAAUGGAGAUGCUGAUGUUUGCUGCAACCGGUAGGUCACAGGUCUAUGCAACAAUAUAGAUCCAUUGGAUGUUAAUGACUAGUUGAGAAAUACAGUGCCCUAUGUAAACAUAUUUUUCUUCCAUUUUCCCCUAAGACCACAAUAUUAUUCAAAGCCUUACCUUCUACUACACUAACUUGGCUGGUUCCUAGUAUAACAAUAUAUAAUCAUCAUGAUUUUAAUCUUACUUUGCCAGGUACCACUAACUAUUCAUUAUUUUAUAAAGUUUGUAUAUUUUUAUUUAUCUUUCUGUUUCUGUCAUCAAAUUGUUGCAAAAGUGAGUGUAUGAUGUAAUGGAAUACAGUAUGCUCAUGUAAACAACUCAUUCUUGAAUACUUGACAUUUGGAUGGAAAAUUCUACUGUAUUGUCAUUGACUGCACCAAUAACAAUUUGAUUCACAAAAAAAAAGAACUACUUGUCUAUAUAAUUUAAAUUAUGCUUUUGAUAUUUUCCCAGAACCGGAAAUAGUUUGGGGUGAGAUUUCCAGAGAUGCCAUCCUGCCAUGUUUUUUUAAGCCAUACAAUAAAAUUACAUUACAUUGGAUGACAACUGAUGAAAAGACCGUGCUCAGCUACUUCGACAAUGCCGAACAAUUAGAAAAUCAAGACCCACAAUACAAAAAUAGGACUUCGCUGGUUUUAAGUGAACUGAAAAAUGGAAAUGCUUCCCUUAAGAUUUCAAAUCUGCACAUAGGAGAUAACAAAUCAUAUUAUUGUUAUACAUCCACAGAGACAAAAAACAAAGUUUAUGUUGAUUUAAAAUUUGCAAGUAAGGAAUGUAUAUUAUGUAUUUCAGAAAACCUAAAUGUACAGUUAUUAAUGUAAGUCAUAAUUGAAAUAGAAAUACAAAAGGAAGCACAUCUCACUUACUCCCCAUAAGAUCCCUUGUGUCCUUAGUAUAUGCCCAAGUAAACAUCUCAUUCAACCUUGGUACACAAUAAUAGGCUGGGAAAGCUGGAGAUAGGCCCACUGCUCAGCCGAUCAUUGCUGUCAGAUGUAUGACUUUGAUGAAGAGCCUCAUUCAUUAUCUGAGCAGCUGUAGAUGGGUGUAACUUUGUGUGCUGUAGAGAGCCCCAGGUUUGUCAAACUGCUCAGCCAAGGGAUUUCUCCAUUAUGUGGGUGAUGCUAUUUAUAAUAGUAACAGGGCUCAAAAUUUCACAUCUUCAAGAGUCACAGCCAGACAUGAAAAGUUACUUGCUGCCUAAAAUGCAUGUGAUCAGCAUUUCAACUAUUUUUUUUAUUCAAUUAUGUUUGCUACUGUGUUUAAGUGUAUGCAGGGGCCUACUUGUAUGCAGUGUCGGCAUGUGUUUGUGUGAAUGCCAGAGCAGGUGGGGUAUAUUAGGCAGCAAAUGAACAGUCAGUUCUUCAAUUUCAUGUGUUGGAAGUAGUAAAAUGGGCAAAUGAAAAGAUUUGCGUGGCUUUGACAUGUGUCAAAUAUUGAUGUUUAGACGACAUUGUCAGAGAAUCUCCAAAAUUGCAAGUCUUGUGAAGUGUUCACGGUAUGUUAGUACUUAACAAAAGGGGUGCAAGGAAGGACCACCGGUGAACUAUGGUCCAGAUCAUGGGCGCCCCCAAGGCUCAUGGCUGUACAUGAGGAGUUAAGGCUAGCCGCCUGGUCCGAUCACACAGAAGAGCUACUAUAGUUGAAAUUGCUGAAAAACUUAAUGCAUUAGUUCAUGAAGAAAGGAGUAAAAACACACAGUGCAUCAUAGUUUGAUGCAUAGUGACCUUGAUGACCCCUAUUCCAUGCUAUAAGCUACAUUAAUCGGGAUGUGAUCAUCAGAACUGGACCCUUGAGCAAUGGAAGAAGGUUGCCAGGUAUUUUUUAGAUCAGGUGGGCAUUUGGAUGCAUGUGCAUUGUUUACCUGGGGAAGAGAUGGCAGCAGGAUGCAUUACCAUGACCAUGUGCACCAUUUGAUGGACUCUUUCAGCAGCAUAAUACACCCUGACACUCUGCAAAAAUUGUUCAGGAAUGUUUUGAGUAACAUAACAAAGAGUUCAGGGUGUUGCCUUGACCUCCAAUUCCCCCAGAUCUCAAUCAGGUUGUGCAUCUGUGGGAUGUGCUGAAACUUAUAAGCCAUUCAUGGAGGCCCCACCUCACAACUUGCAGGAUUUAAAGGAUCUGCUACUAAUGUCUUGGUGCCAAAUACCCAUUCCGUGAUGUUGUGGAGUCCAUACUUCGAUGCAUCAGAGCUGUUUUAGCAGCGUGAUGGGGAUCUACACAAUAUUAGGAAGGUGGUUUUAAUGUUGUGGAUAAUCAUUGUGCAUAGAGUCAGUGUGUUUGAAUGUAAAGGUUUGUGUUAAAAAAGGAUCUCUGUGCUUGGAUGCAGAGGUGGAUGAUGGAUGUAGAGUCUGGUGAUGUGUGGAGAGAAUCAAUGUGCAUAAAUACAGGGGCAUAUGUGUGCAUAGAGAGAAUUUAGGGACAUAAGUAUCUGGACGGUCAGUGUGCAUGAAUGCAGGGGUGUGUUUGUUAAAUCUAAGGGAAUGUAUGUGGGUAGGACCCUUAAAUAAAGUUCACCUUAUUAUAGCACCAAAGCCCUUGCUCACUUUGCCACCAAUUAUUCAUGUAGUCCACGUCCCUUUAUAUAUUUUGUAUAUGCAUGGUUUUAUGGAUAACAUUACGUGACUCUAGAAAGUGAUUUAUCCAGUUUCUGUGCUGUUGUUUUUUCUUCACAUGAUAUAACGUAUGAUACUAAAGAUAAAAAGCUGUGAAUACAUUAAUACAUAUAAUUUAUAUAUAUAUAUAUACUUUUUUUAUUUAUUAUUGUUUUUAGCGUUUGAAAACCAAUCGAUUAACUAUGAGUCAAAAAAUAAAGAAGUCCAACUAAACUGUUAUUUGGAACAUUGGUAUCCAGACAAUGCAAUCAGUAUAAAGUGGCACAAUGGAGAUAUUGUUGUCAAUGAAACCAAAGCCUCUGAGUGCAUUAUAGGGGUUACAAAUGCAAGUGAUACUUAUUGGUGCCUCAUACACCACUCAAAGCUUAAUGUUUCCUGGAAGGGUACCUGGCAAAAAAAGGGUAAGUGUAAAGCUAAGUAUAUGUGUAGUUUCUCAACUCAUCUUUAUUAGUCAAAGUCACAGUUACAAAAGUGUUUACCAUGAAAAGUUAUUUUAAGGUAAGAGAACAGGCAAAUGAAAAAAUUAGACUAUAUACAUAUCACACAUAACGUGUAACAUUGGCUGACUUUCAUCACAUUUACCAGGAAAAAAAUACAUAAUCCAAUUUGUACUUUUAUGACAAUUAUUCUUCACAAUUAUAUUGUAACAAGGAGUACAGCAGUUAUUUAAUUAAAAGUAGAUGGAUGCAGAUAUUUUCAGAUACUUCAGAUAAGUGGAAUAGCUGAUGUUUUCCCUCAUAUUUGUGGAGUUUAUAAGAGGAAAGUUUUGAACCAUUUUUAUGGCAAGAGAUGGAUAGCACUACGCUGCAAGUGGAAAUGGGGACAAAGGGGAUGGAGAUAGAUGCCCUGAGUGGUUUUCUAGAGAUGUGGUUAAAAGCCAAGCAAGAAAAGUGAAGGGUAUGUCUUGAUUCGGGAUAUGGGAUAUUUAUUUUUUACUUUAUUUUAUUUCAAAAUCUACACAUAUACAAUGUACCUUUUUCUAUGUGGACAUCCAGAGGCUAAGAUGGUUCUUGUUAUUUUGGAGGCAAUGGGUUCUCAUCAUGUCCCCAUUGGCUUUAACAAUCUCUGAUAGUAAGAUGGUUCUUGUUACUUCAGGUUACAUAGUUACAUAGGCUGAUAAAAGACUUGUAUCCAUCAAGUUCAGCCUUUCUCACAUCAGUUUUUGCUAUUAUUACCAUGGAGAUUAUGGAGGCAAUUUAGUAUUUGUGGAUUUUUGUAUAAAUUAAGUGAUUCUGGUGCUUCUGGUAGGACUGUAAUUCAUAUUUUCCUCAUAUUCAUAAUUCAUAUAGAGGAAAUACCAGUCAGUCAUAAUUUAAACCCUGUAUUACAUCAUCUCUUUUGGAUAGGUCAGACUUGGUGUACAAACAGCUUUCUCUUUAAUUAUUCUUGGUUUGUGGUGUUUGACACCAUAUAAUGCAGAGGAUGGUAUGCUCCAAGCCAGAGCAAGGCAUUAGAUAAUGCUUCAUCUGUUGUUGAGUUACAACUUCUGUGUUCCUGAGUCAACAGAAGGUGACUGAGAACAAUUGUGAAUAGCUGCAGAGGUAGUUUUUUUCUACUUUAAUACGAUCAUGGAAAUGUUAGAAAAAGACUUCCACUAAAAAGGACUUGUAAUUAGCAACUAUUAUGCUUGGGACAUUGUAUGUAUACGUAUAGUUUUUUUUUAAAAUAUAUAUAUAAAAUGUAAUUAAAUGAACACCCCAUGAACCAGAACCACUACCCCACACUGUAGUGGUUAUAAAGCCAUAUGAGUGUUCUCCAUUGUAAGCAACCAAACCACUAUAGAAUAUAGAAACCCCUCCCCAAGUCCACUACAUUCUAUGGAGAGACGCUCUUAACAGGAGAGUCCAUUAGCUAUCAUGUUCUAAGACCUGCAAUGUUUGCAUUGGCUGUGAGCAUCAGCUGCAAUUUCUCAUCCAAUGAGCCAAGCACUGUAUCACUGGGUUUAGCUUUCAAAGAGACCUUCUGGCACUCCAUAGGAAGUAGUCGAGGUGGGAAAUGGCACCCAGUGGAACUUGGGUAUGAAGCAAAACCAUUCUAAAAUGUAGAAGGCAUUUAACCGAGUGUGAGGAUUUGCUAGCUGGUAGACGCUGUCUUGCAGGUGGUUUAGCCUUUUAUCAUGCUCAUAUCUCUGUGGCAUCAUCAGUAGCAGCAACAUGUUGUCAUUGCUGAUCAUCCAUCCUCAGCUUCUUAAAUUGUCUUGCAUUGCUUACCAUUGAUGAGCUAUUUCAUAUUAAAAUUGCUGUUUGCUUUAACUCUUUCCAUAUUUUAUCAUAUGCAUUAAGUUCAUCUUGACAUGUAUUUAUAUAUCUGAAUGCAUGUAUUAUGUUACAAGAAAUAAUGGGAAAUACGUUUUUAAUUUUUUUUUUUUUUUAGAGAUUAACUGCACAAAAUCAAACAAAGCUGGUAGCAAUUUAUGUGAAACAAUAAACCCAAAUCUAUACAUCGCAUGGUUGACAGAAAACAAUAUUCUGGAGCCAGUGAUGGCUACACCAUUCUUUUCAAAUGUUAAAGAACAUUUUAAACUUUGCAUAAAUGCCAGCGGUGAGCCAUGUUUUGAGUGUGACCUACGAAGCAAUAUUACAGAGGAAAUUGGAGAGCACAUCUGUAGAUUUAAGUCUUCACACAGCAUGCAUAUUAUUAUCAUGAAUGUCAACUUCCAGGAUGGUAAGAAAACUUGUUCAUGUAUAGUUCUGCUAUAUGAUUAUGCUCAACAAUCUUUAUUGUGCUGCAUUGUACAAGGGGCAUUAUGGAAGAGUAUUAUAUUUACUUGCUUAAAACAAAAUAAUACUAAAAAGAAGGUGUCAUGUGGAUAUUGGACCAGACUCAUCACGGCACACAGUUUGGUUGUGACACACAAGUUGCACAUAGUCAUCCACUCAGAACCGCUCUGUCACACGGUGUCAGUAGUAGAGCAUGACUACAUAUUUAAACACACCGGCACUUUACUUGGGAUGAAAUGCAUGGCAUUUAAGAUGAUUGAUGAUGAUUCAUUUGUGCUCAGUUGAUGAGCAAAUCUGAUGAGCCUUCCUGGCAGGUAGAAUGUCACCCUGGCAAGCAUGCGUGUUAGGAUUACAUGCCCUCUUUACAGAGGUGCACAUCACCACCAAAAAAUACUAUUUUCUCUUAUAGAUUAUGAAACUCUAACUUUACAAAAGUACAUUUUACCUCCUACUCUACAUAUACAUUCCCAGUAUAUUCUCAUUCUCAGUACAUAUCCCAAUUCUCCCUAGUAAGGUUCCCAAGUGUACUAUUAUUUUGCAGCAUACAUAUCAUUGGGACAAUAUAUGGAAGCACUCCCUAGCAGCAUUUAAGAAUUCAUUUAAUUUAGAAAUGGAAUCACUUACAGUGGGGUUGGUGUUCCUGAUUGUGGUCUUGACUUAAUAUUUUGAAUAAGCUUUUCAAAUUUAAAAAAUGAUGUAAAAAAAAAAUAAUAUUGAUAUAAAAAAAAAAACCUUAAUGCUUUUUGCUGUGUACAUCUACUAUGUCUGGUCUCACUAUGUGGAUGGAUCCCUGUACUAUUUGGCAUCACAGCAAAAUUAUGGCAGUUAACAAAUUCCAAUUUUGGCAUACAUUUAUUGCACUGUUAAAAAUAAAUUCAGCUCUAGUAAAUUGAGCUUUAUAUUUCACUUCUAUUUAGGAACAUCCGUCAACCACCAACUGUGGCUGCUGUGCCUGUUGUUGAUACCAAUUGCAUUUGCUGGUGCUCUGGUUGUUUGGAAAAAAAGGUACAAUUUGUAUAUUACAAUGCAAAAAAUAUGUUAAAAUAUUACAUAAAAUGCUGCUUGAUGUAUUAAAAAACAUUGAUGCACAAAAUUGUAUUUGAUGGACAUUAUGUUUUGAGUCUAGGUAGGCUUCUUUAAUGUUCAAUGCAGUGGUUCCCAAACUUUUUAGGUUUAAGGCACCCUUAAUAUUUCAAUAUCUUUCCAAGGUGCCCUAAGUCAAAACAAAUUUCCAGAUUGUAUAUAUGUACAGCGCUGCGGCAUAUACUGGGAUUCAGAACCUGAUCUUGAAAGGGCAGUGGUAAAUUAUUUAACCCCUUAAGGACACAUGACAUGUCAUGAUUCCCUUUUAUUCCAGAAGGUUGGUCCUUAAGGGGUUAAAGAAACAAUCCAGGCCAGAUAACCACUGCAGCACUAUGUAGUGGUUAUGGUGCCAGGAGAGCCGUAGUGCCCUCCGAGGGUAAGCACUCAAACUGUUUAAGAACAGUGUGACAACUUACCUGGGGUCUGCCAGGAUAGGGGCUGUAGUAGGGGAUUUGGGCAGUGGUGUGUGUGUGUGAGGGGUGCAGUGUGUGUGGGUUAUGUGUGUGUGUGAGGGGUGCAAUGUGUGUGUUCAUGUGUCAGGGGUGCAGUGUGUGUACAGGCUUGCAUUUUGUUUAUGAAGGAUGUAGUGUGUGUGUGUGAGGGGUCCAGUGUGUGUAUUGGAGGUAUUGUGUGUGAGGGGUACAGUGUGUGUGUAUGGACGGGCAAUGUUUGUGUAUGGUGGGCCGUUUGUGUAUGGUGGGCAGUGUGUGUGUGUGUGUGUGUAUGGAGGGGCAAUGUAUGUGUAUCGGGUGCAGUGUGUGUGUAUGGAGGGGCAAUGUAUGUGUAUGGGUGGCAGUGUGUUUAUAUGGGGGGUAGUGUGUGUAUAUGUGGGUUAGUAUGUGUGUAUGAGGGGCAGUGUGUGUGUAUGUGGGGCAGUGUGUGUGAGGGGUUUAGUGUGUGUCGCGAGAGGAGACCCCAGAGGAGCUCUAACCUGCAGCUCUCCUCUCCCUCCCCUGCCAGGUGCAGCAUUUCAGUGCAAAUUGGCCAGUUGGGGAGAUCUCUGGUCCUACAGAGCUGGCAGGGGAGAGUGAGAGUGAUCAUAGCACCGGGGUAAUAUUUUGUGGCACCCCUGUGUGCACGUUGAAGCGCCCCAGGGUGCCGCAACACACAGUUUGGGAACCGCUGGUUUAAUGUAUGUAAUUGCACUAUUACAAUUUCCACUUAUAAAUUACUGGUCACCUUUCCUAAUAUUGUUAUAUUAAUAUAUAUGUAUAUUUUUUUUUUGUAGUAGAUCAGCAGGCACGCGAUUUACAGGUAUGUUUUGUUUUACAAUUUUCAUUUACAGGGAUGUUUCAAAGAACUAAAAAUACUCUUCUAAAUAGGAAUCUGCUCAUGAUUUCUUAUACUACGCUUGCUUUUAGACUUGUGCAGGGUGGACAUUUUUGGUUUGUCCAAAUAAAUGUCUCAUCCAAAACAAAUUCGUUCAUUAGUUGAUUUGUUUCGGAUUAAAUAUCUCUGAUAUUUUCAGUAUGGAAUUUCCAUUCGCACUUCCUUUGGUUUAGAACACGGGUUCCCAAUUACUUUUUCCCGUGGAACCCUUUGACAUAGUGUAUCAACAUUGUGGAACCUCCCUCCCCGGAAAAAAAAAUUACAAUUGCGCCAUUAUUUUUUUUUUUUUAUGUCAAGGUGUGUAUAUCUGUGCUUGUAUGUGCCACUUAUAUAUCUGACACACACACACACACACACACACACACACAGAUCGAAACACAGUGUGUGUGUGUGUGUAUCUGUGUGUCAAGGUGUGUGUAUUUGUGUUUGUAUGUGCCAGUGUGUAUGAAUCUGACACACGGAUAUACACACACUGACAGAUAGUGGCACACAGAUACACACACUGACACAAAUACAUACCUUGACACACAGUGUGUAUCUGUGUGUGUGUGUAUGUAUGUAUCUAUGUGUCAAGGUGCAUGUAUCUAUGUAUCAAGGUGUGUGUAUCUGUGUUUGUAUGUGCCAGUGUGUAUAAAUCUGACACACAGAUACACACACUGGCAGAUAGUGGCACACAGAUACACACACCUUAACACACAGUGUGUAUCUGUGUGUGUAUGUAUUUAUGUAUCUGUGUGUCAAGGUGUGGGUAUCUGUGCUUGUAUGUGCCGGUGUAUGUCAAGGUGUGUAUAUCUGUGUUUGUAUGCACCAGUGUGUAUAUCUCUGCGUCUGUGUGUAUAUGUAUACACACACUGGCCCACAGAUACACACUGAAACACACGUUUACACACAGAUACACACACUCAGAUACACACUGACACACAUCUUGACUCACAAAUACACACACACACACUCAGAUUCACACAGUGACAUACACACAUUUGCACCCACAGAUACACACUGACACACAGGUACAUACAAACACACUGAUACAUACUGGCACAUACAUACACACACACACACACUUAGAUACACACAGUGACACAUACACACUCUUUGACAGACACACAUACACUCUCAAUGACAAACACACACUCUUUGACACACAUAUACACUCUCACUGACAAACACACCCACUCUUUUACAGACAAACACACAAACACAUACAAACUCCCUAAUAGACAUACAUAAAUUUUUUUUGUUUUUUUUACAUUUUACUCCACCCAGCCCCCCUACCUUUAGGAGUGCUGGGAUGGAGUCCCUGGGGUCCAGUGUGGCUGCUGGCAUGAAGUCCCUGUUGUCCAGUGGGGCUGGCUGCAGCUUGGUGGGCUGUCGGGAGGUCUGGCAGACAGGUGAGCGGUGGAGGUGGGCAGCGAGGGAGCAGUUACCUCUCUGCUCAGCUCCCUCACGCGCCUCUUAGUGAUGCCGGAGUCGGAGUGAUGUCAUAUUCCGGCUCCGGCAUCACUGCUGUGCACGUGAGGGAGCUGAGCAGGGAGAUCACUGCUCACUGUUCCCUCACCACCCGUGGCCAUUUUAUUUUCAAUUUUUUGUCGGAACCCCAAUUAGUGUUCACACCAAUUGGGUAAACGCUGGUUUAGAAAAUAGAUACUUUACAUUCCUAAUUGUAGGAUUGCCAUAUUUCAGGGUAUUAAAUUAGGGAGGGGACUGUGUUCAGUAGAAGCUCCAUAUUUUGGCACCCCUAAAUAUAGCAUUCCCAUAAAAGGAUCCCAAGUUAGGAAGCUAUCUACUUAGCAGCUGAAAGAUCAAAAUUAAGAAAAGGGCUUUUAAUUACUUUUGAUCUUUCAGCUGUAUUAUUUAGUAAAUACCCACCACAGACCAAUCAUUUAUUCCUCUGCAGGGCAGCACAGGCCCAGAUAUAGCUCUCUGUCCAUUAAUGGAUCAGUGGAGAAGAUCAAAAUUUUCUGGCCAUAUCCAUGGCAACACAGUGAUUGGUAGCUUCUCCCUAUCCUUAAUUAGACAGGAACUAAUUAAAAUAAAUGUAUAAGUACCUCCUCCUAUCCCCUCCUCCCUCCAUCUUUUUGUUCCUGUCUUAUCCCUAUAGGACAUAUGUUUUUUCCUUGGAACUAUUUUUUUUUUUUUUUUUAUGGCUUAUCUGGGGAUUUGUUCCCCUGGCCCCUUGGGAGUUCAGCCUCUCUCCCUUGGGAAGUCUCCAGUUACACGGCCCUGCGCAAAGGUGACCCCCUGAAGAGUACCCCUUUAGUGACCGGGGAUCUGGCACUUGCUGUAACCCAAGAGGUAGCAAGCUGUUAUGCCUAGUUCCCUAAUGCUGCAGUGACCCUAGGUGUAGCAGUGGGCAGGUGAAUAUGGACUUGGACGUCUACCUUGCUGGUCUGGACUUCUCCCUGUUUCCGACUUCCCUCUGCCUAUUCCGUCCUUCUGAAGGGGUAAGUGCCUGUGGUUUCUUUCAUUUUCAACUUGGCGUUCGUUUUUUCGAAUGCACAUGUGUUCGUAUGGUUUGCUGAUUGAUUUUGUGUCUGUUUGUGCUUUUAGCCGUUCGCCUGAAAUUUUAGCUGUUCGCAUGAAUUCUGGCAAACGUUUAUUUGUUCACACGAAUGGUCCGUUCGUCUGUUCGUUUGCCUGUUCGUUCGUCUGAUUUACACAGGUGCUCUGUGUGUGACAUCACACGCCUAUUUAACAGCCCCCUGGUUCACACACUCUGGCGAAUGCUGCAUUGCUUCCUCCCAUCUCCUGCUUGAUUUUCGUUUUGUCCGCUUUUCGUUAAGGUAAAUGUAUUUUUAUUUUUUAAAGUGGUAUCCUUCAAUUUUGUUCUGAAUUUCAAUUUGAGAUUCUUUCUUGAAUUUGGUUCUGCAGAUGGAUAUGGAAGUCUCAAAUUCCUCUGAUUCUGAUUCUUUCCCACCUCACAAAAGGUCACAACCUAAGUCUUAUAGGUAAGCCAUGUUUUUUCUGGUUUGUUUUAUCUGGAAUCUAAAAGAGUGCGGAUAACUGAUACACUGUUCUGUCCCUAUUUCAGCAGUUCUAAGGGGACUAGAGCUUAGUGUCAUCCAAAGUGAAGUCGCCCAAAAGGACACAAUGUGAAUCCUGUGAUAACAGAGCCCUGUAGGGGAAACGUCUCUGUUUUUCUUGCCUAUCUGUGACUGCAGGCCCAUCUCAAAGGCAGUCCUCCAUCCAACCUGCGCCUGACAUAAUGCAGUAUAUUUUACAAGCAGUCACUCUGGGCAUUCAGGAAGCUGAGAAGUCCCGCAAGUGACCAAGGUGUUUGGAACCUUCGGAGUGUUCUCCAGACGUCUCUGAUGUGGAGUGUAUGACUAUGGAAUCUCUGAGAGAUCUGGGUUCUUCUUCUGAGGACGAGGUGCUUCCAGCUCCAGAUUUCCUGGAACCUGCUGAAAUUUACCGUUUUAUGUCCAGGGUCCGCAAGACUCUCAGUUUGAAGGAAUCUUCUAAGGAUGAGACUUCCACAUCCAGUCGCUACUUCUCUGACCUCAGGAGGAAGAGGGCAACUUUUCCAGUCCAUGAGACUAUAAAGACCUCAUCAAGGAGGAAUGGUCCAGAUUGGACAGAAAAUCCUCUGCAAAAGGAAGAUUUUCCAGACUGUAUCCUUUUGAGGAUGCUGAUGCUGAAGCAUUCCGCUCCCAAGGUGCAUGCGGCCGUGGUUAGAUUGGCCAAACGCACCACUUUGCCUGUUGAUGAUGCGGGUUCCUUCAAAGACCCUAUGGACAGAAAGAUGGACUUCAGUCUUUCCAAAGCAAAUGUGGCUUCAGGUACUGGCCUGCACCCAGCAGUGGCCCUUGUGUCAGUCCAGGGCGCUUAAGGUUUGGAUGGAGAAUUUGGAGGAGGAUAUUAAGAACAGCAGGAGCCAUCCCUUCAUACAUAGAAACAUAGAAUGUGACAGCAGAUAAGAACCAUUCGGCCCAUCUAGUCUGCCCAAUUUUCUAAUUACUUUCAUUAGUCCCUGGCCUUAUCUUGUAGUUUGAAUAGCCUUAUGCCUAUCCCAUGCAUGCUUAAACUCCUUUACUGUGUUAAGCUCUACCACUUCAGCUGGAAGGCUAUUCCAUGCAUCCACUACCCUCUCAGUAAAGUAAUACUUCCUGAUAUUAUGUUUAAACCUUUGCCCCUCUAAUUUAAGACUAUGUCCUCUUGCUGUGGUAGUUUUUCUUCUUUUAAAUAUGGUCUCCUCCUUUACUGUGUACAUACUGGAUAGCCUAAAAGAUUUGAAAUUGGCUGUUGACUUCUCAUCUGAGGCUGCGGUGGAUCUGGUGAGGUUCUUAUGGCUCUUUCAGUUUUGGCCAGGAGAGCGCUAUGGCUCAGACCAUGGUCCGCUGAUGCCUCCUCCAAAGGCAGCUUGUGCUCCCUUCCUUUUUAUGGCGACAUGAUAUCUGGCAAGAAUCUGGAUGAUUGUAUUAAACGAGCAGCCGAAGGUAAAAAGGCCUUUCUGCCUCAAGACAACAGGCCCAAAGGUUCCUUUCGUGCAAAAAGGGACUAUUACCUGUUUUGUGAUAGCAGAUCCUACAGACCGGGUAAGGAAUAUGGGAGAAAUCAAUCCUGGAGGAGCGGUCAACAUAGUGCUACAGGCGGCAAGUCCCGAGGUUCUGCACCCUCCAAGAACCCCAGGAAUCUGUGAUGGGCUUAUCUCCCUGUCAGGCGGUGUUGGAGCUCGCUUGCUCCAAUUCCGUGUGGCAUGGGAGGAAUCCGUAAGAGACAACUGGGUUCUGGAUAUCAUCAGAAAAGGAUAUCUUCUAGAAUUUUGCAAACACCCUCCUUCCAGUUCCUUCCAAAUUGCAAAGUGUCCGGGAGACAAAGUAAAAAGGCUUGCUCUCCAGGUCUUCCUUCUCUACAAAAAAGAGUCAUUGUACCAGUCCCGGAGUCAGAAAGGACUCACGGCUUCUAUUCACACCUAUUUCUGACUGAAUAGUCCUCGGGAGGGUGGAGACCCAUCCUACAUUUACACAGACUGAAUCGAUACUUGCAUAUACGCAGAUUCAAGAUGGAGUCUCUUCAAUCAGUGGAUGUUAUCAGUAGACUUGUUGAAUGCCUAUUUCAACAUCCCUAUAGCCCUGGCACAUCAGAAAUACCUGAGGUUCGCAGUAGGGGAGGCUCAUUUCCAAUUCAGGGCCUUGCCCUUUGAUCUCAGCACUGCUCCAAGGACCUUCACGAAAGUGCUUGUUGUUCUCAUCGCAGAACUGAGAAAACAGGGCAUAUCCAUCUUCCAUUACCUGGACGACAUCCUGAUUGUGGCGGACAACGAGGAUACUUUGUCCGCCCAUGCAACUGUUUGCCUUCAGUUCCUACAACAUCACGGUUGGAGGAUAAAUGUCAAAAAGAGCCAUCUCUGCCCGAGUCAGUCCAUGACAUACCUGGGUGCUCUGUUCGACACUUCCGCGGGGACUGUUCAACUCUCCCCAGAAAGGAUCCUGAGAAUACAGAAACAGGUUGUGGAGAUGUUGGCAUGCAAGGUGACUUUAGUGAAGAAGGCGAUGAGUCUCCUGGGUUCCAUGUCCUCCACGAUAGGACUGACAAGGUGGGCACAAUGGAGAAUGAGGAGCUUUCAGGCAAACUUCCUCCUCCAAUUCUCCUCAAAAAGUCUACUCCAGCCCAUCAAGAUUCCGUUGUCAGUUCACAAUUCCCUGGUUUGGUGGCUAAACAGUGCCUCCUUAGCCAAGGGCUUCCUUCUGGGAGACGUUCCGUGGAUAGUAAUAACGACGGAUGCCAGCCAUUGGGGUUGGAGAGCCCAUUGUCAACGCAACUUUGCGCAGGAGGAAUGGAAGUUCCAUGCGGACAACUUGCCUUCCAAUCUACUGGAACUCUUUGCUGUUCUCGAAGCCCUGAAACAUUUUUCUCAGCUGAUUCGUCACCGUUGGGAGAAGAUUCGGUCAGACAAUGCUGCGGUGGUAGCCUACAUCAACCAUCAGGGUGGCACCAGAAGCGCAGGUGUUUAUGCAUCUGUUGAUGUCAUGGUCUCAACGACACCUGGCAGGACUCACAGCAAUUCAUCUCCCGGGGAAACAGAAUCAGAUCGCGGAUUUCCUCAGCAGAUCCAGAAUCGAUCCGGGAGAGUGGUGUUUGUCGGACGACGUGUUCCAAAUGAUAGUGGACAGAUGGGGCCUUCCUCAAGUGGACUUGUUUGCGACAUGAAAGAACAGGAAGGUGGAAUGUUUCUUCACGAAGGACAACGAUCCUCUAGCCAUGGGGAGGGACGCCCUUUCCAGCAACUGGCGAUUUUGAGCAGUGUAUGCAUUUUCCCCUUUUCCCUUUGUAGAAUGAGGAUGGUUUGCGUCUCCCUCAUACUCAUAUCCCCGUUUUGGCCGCGCAGACCCUGGUUUCCUCUCCUACAGAGCCUUUGUGUAGAGCCGCCUUGGAGUCUUCAGAGAGUCCCAGACCUUCUGCGUCAAGGUCCUGUUCUCCACCAAGACCCGUCCUCCCUCAACCUGAUGGCAUGGAGGUUGAAAGGGAAAGGCUGUUGAAUAAGGGCUUCUCUCAUGCGGUGGUAGACACCCUGCUCAGGGCUAGGAAGCGUUCCACUUUUAACGCAUACUAUCGAAUCUGGGACUUUUUCUCUUCCUGGGCUUCCUCGAGGGAUGUCUCGAUCCAGUGUCCUUCCACAGGGAAAAUCUUAGACUUUCUUCAGUAUGGCCUCAAGAAGGGUCUGAGCUACAACACCUUGAAGGUUCACAUAUCUGCCUUGUCGGCUUUAACUAACCACAAAUGGCCCUUUGAUUCGGACGUGGCCAGGUUUCUUAAAGCUGUACUAAAAAUCAGAUCUCCGAUUAAGCCAUUCAGUCCACCUUGGGACUUGCCUCUGGUUCUCCAAGCUCUAAAGUCUCACCCCUUUAAACCUUUGGAUUCAGUGCCUUUCCAUUUCCUCUCCAUUAAAACUGCCUUACUGGUGGUUUUGGCCUCAGGCAGAAGGGUCUCGGAACUUCAUGCUCUGUCUGUCAAGGAGCCUUUCACAGUCUUCCAUAAGGACAGGGUGGUCCUUCGUACUAUCCCAGAAUUUCAGCCUAAGGUCACCUGCGCCUUUCAUAUUAACAAGGAAAUUGUUCUCCCAGCUUUGCAUCCGGUUCCACAAGUAGAUGGUGAUGACAGGGAUCUUUCCUCCUUGGAUUUGGUGAGAUGCCUCAGAAUCUACAUUGACAGAACCUCCCCUUGGCCUUCAUUUCCAGGCCUCUUUAUCCUUUAUAACGGAUGUAGAAAGGGCAGUCAGGCUCCUAAAUCUACCAUUAGCAGAUGGUUUGUUUCAGCCAUCAUCCAAGCUUAUCAGGCCUCGAAAGCUCCAGUCCUGCAUGGACUCAAAGCUCAUUCCACGAGAUCCCUUUCCUCCUCAUGGACCUUCUCUGCCAAGGUCUCUCGUGAACUGAUUUGUAGAGCUGCCACUUGGUCCUCUGCCAAUACUUUCAUCAGACAUUACCAAGUGGAUAUCAGAGCCGGUCAUUUGGACCAAUUUGCUAAAAGUGUCCUUUCUGUAUGAAACCCUUGAUUCCUGAAGUUUUGGCGUUUGUCACUUGGUUUGUGGUACCAAUACACUUUGUAUAUGAUUUUUUGGAGUCUGUGGUUUCUUUAUUUAUUUAUCCCUCCCUUGGUUAUUGCUUGGGUAUUACUCAUCAUUGUGCUGCCAUGGAUAUGGCCAGGAAAAGGGAAAAUGUAUCCAUACUUACCGUACUUUUCUUUUCCUGGUCAUAUGCCAUGGCAGCACAAAGGUCCCGCCCUGGGAUAUUGCUAGUAAUAAGACUGAGGGAGGAGGGGAUAGGAGGAGGUACUUAUACAUUUUUUUUAAUUAGUUCCUGUCUAAUCAGGGAUAGGGAGGAGCUACCCACCAUUGUGCUGCCAUGGCAUAUGACCAGGAAAAUUACUGUAAGUAUGGAUAAAUUUUCCCUUAUCUCCCUUACUGGGCCAGCAUACUUUUACAUCUGGUGAGAGGGUGGCUGUAAUGCCAGGGGAGCUGGGAUGUCUAUGCCAGCCCUGCACACCGAUCUCUCUUAGUCCCAGUACUUACAGUGUCUGAGCAUUGCCAUUGUAAAUGUUCUGACAGUAAGUAAGUGCUGGAAGAUAGAGGUGCAGCAAAUACAUAAACCUCAUGGUUCCUCUCCCUGCAACUGGAGGAUAGGCAGCUUGCUGGACCGUCAUAUAUCUGAAUGCCUCUCCCUGAAAGGUAAGAACAGGAGGGGGAAUCAUUUUUUUUCGGUAAAAAUAUUAAAACCCCAUUCCCAAUCCCCUAAACACAUCAUAAAAAAAAAAAACACACAGAGCACCACCCCACACUCACAGCGCACCACCACACACAUACAGUACACCUCCAAUACAGUACACCCCUCCACACAAGGUGCACCUCACCCCACACACAGUGCACCCCACCCCACACACAGUGCACCCCCAAACAAACAAAAAUAAAAUAUUUUAUCUUAACAAAUUACAAAGAACUGAUUUGAGCAAAUCAAAUUUUUCGACCGUGCACAAGUCUAUCUGUAAGCAAAUAGACAGCAUAGUGAUAGGAGUAGAAGUAAAGUAAAGUUUAUGUUUUUCCAUGCAGUGUGUGUCCUGGCACAGUUGCGACUCAGUCUUUAAUGAUAAUAUAUUAGCACCAUUCUCCGCAUCCACUAAUUCAGACAGAGAGACAGAAGUUCUGUGUCUAAGCAAAGCACAGCAGUGCAGGGCUUAGCUCAUUUUUAUGAGAGCAAUCAGCUGCCACGCUCAGCCAAUGACCUAGUCCUGCACUGCAGGUCUUUGCUCAGGAGGGCUAACGGAAGCUCCUCUUUAGGAGUGUCUGGCCCGUGAUGGUGGGGGCAAGGAUGCAGCUCCCAGCAGACCCCAAGUAAGAAGUUAAACCAUCUUAAAAUGGUUUGGCUACUUACGAAGGGAAAUCACCAGGACACUCCAGGUUAUGAUGCCUAGAGUAUUUCUUUAAACCCUGUGAAUAAAUAAUUCCCUUUAUUUAAAUUGUAUUUUAUUUUCACUGAUGCAUAUCUUGAAGUGUAAUUGUCCCCUAAACAAAAGGUCUUCUAUGGACUGUUUAAUAUAUUUUAAAUAUCCACAGGUGUGCCAUUACAAGAUAUGUCAACCUGAUCGCUUGAAAAUAAGAAGAUACUGAAAAUAAAUAGAUAAUUUAAUUGUUGAUGAGAAAAGGAUGCAUUAUGUGAAGGGAGAGAAAGUGGUCAGAAAAAUGUAACAUGUCACUGGAUUGUCCCUGUAUCAAAAUGUUGGGGAAAGCAUAGGAGUACAAAUACAGACCUCUUUCAAAAUCCCCACUUGAUAUACACAUAUUUAUUUAUCCUAGUAUACUAGUGUGGGUGGAUGUGGCAUAAAGAGCCACGUUUGGACAUUUGCACAAAAUUACUUUCAAUUGUCUUAAGUCUGGAUCCCAUUAUUGAGACUCUGUCUGUCCUAGAUACUAGGGAAUAGAUAAUAGAUACUAGGCCAGGGGUAGUCAACAUUUUAAUACCUACAACCCACGUUUGCAUCUUUGUUCAUAGUAAAAUUUCCUUGCCAUCCAUCAGUGCCGCAGUAACUCAUUUUAUAGCG